UUGAGGAGGACGGGCAUGGGAGUCUCAGCCACAGCGCCUCGGGUAGGUCCCAUUUGAUCAUUUUUUAUCUCUGUCACCUUUUUUUUGUUGGUGUAAUCAGGAUGUUUUGUUGUCUGUGUAAACACAGUAGGUGAAGUGGAGUUUCCCUUUUCAGCUCCAAAGUCAACCAACAAUUCUUGAGCUCUGUGUCUUAUUUUUACUGAGAAAGAUGGCCAUCUGAUGUAGAAAUAAAACGAAAGAAGCAAUUGACGCAACAUACAAGCAUGAUCAGGAUACAUUUUUAUAGUAUCUUUAAUUAACCUGUUGUUAAUCCAGUUGUACCCAGAAAUGUGCCGAUAGACAUGUCUAUGAAUAAACAGGAUUUGUAAAUAAUCAACCAGUCCAGCUAAGUUCCUUCCUAAUAAUUCCAGAAUCAAAAUAACUUACCUGAUUUUGCUCAGUGAAUAUUCCGAUGGAAAAUACAAUAGUAAAAAGCCAGCUGAGAGCAGAAGUAUUAAAUAAAAAAGCCUUGCGAUUUUUUCAGCCAUCCCUGACACUGAGAACUUUAGGCUUUAUGGCUUAAUUUAAGACUAACAGCUGUCACAGUCCGCGCUCUCUCUGAGUUUCUCCACUCUGCCUCUCAUCUGAUCUUACCCUCUGACACGCCCCUCUCAUCAACAUCUGCUCACUAAACCUGCUCACCAGGGCCGGUUCCGGGAGGGGGGGGGAAAUCUCAAUAUCGCCUAGGGCAGCCAAUGGGCUAGAACCGGCCCUGCUGCUCACACACCUGCAUCCAUAGGGAGGGAGAGCAAGCGCAUUUUGUGGCAUUUGCAAGCAGUGGCAAGCACUUCCGGUGGCAGCUGCAGAUGCCACUACUUUCUGCAUGCCACUAGAUGCCACUAGCUACCAGAUGCCAGUAGCUACUUGUCGAUGGCUGCUGAAAGGGAAUAACCACUGGAUGCCGAGGCAAACGAAUGUUUAAGCUCUUCCUUGAUGAACGCCCAAAUCUUUUCAUCCAACUCAAUGUACCUCUUGUUGGCAGCGACUGGCUCUGGCAUGAGGCACAUUAUUUGAUGAUCUUCGUACCAGUUCACAUCCUCAAUUGGAGAUGGCCAGUAGAACUUAUUCAGGUCAUACCUGCCUGACCUGUGCAUGCAUUUGAUCUGGAUAUUAUGGUUCUCCACCAUCAGGAUAAUGCCAGGAUAUGGCUGCCCAUCAUGCAGUCAGACAUCAGACUUCAGGACGUCUGGAGAAAGGAAACUAAAGGGAUCUUCUCUUAGAAAACAUUAGCAUUGAAAUCUGUCCACAGAGCGGAUGCUUGGUGAUCUGUCUGGAGAAGAGGUUGGGGUCAAGACUGCCUGGACUACCCUCAUUCGCUGCCUGCAUCUGGCUUGGUACACACGCCAUGCCUUUCGCUGAGCUCUCCUCUCUCUUUCACUUAACUCUCCUACAUUCUUCCUUUUUUUGUUGACAAUAUCACUGACAUAACCCUCACGCCGUUUCUUCAAGUACUCUGCCCUACGUACAGGGUCUGUAUCUCUCCGCUGCCUGUAUAGUUUCUGCUUUUCAGCAGCACUCAAUUUGGCCAUACCUGAAAUAUUGAAAAGUACAAUAGCAAAACAAAAUAACUAUACAAUAACUAUACAAUACAAAUAACUAUAAAAUAAUUAAACUGUUUUGGUAAAGUUUUUUUCUCCACUUGAUGUUUUUGUUGGACCUUUUAUACAGGAAUGUCAUUGGUGUUACCAGUUUAGCCAGGAAGAAGAGUAACACCAAUGAUAGUAACACCAAUGACAGUUUGGGGGAAAAACUACAAUUAAAACAAAAUGGCUGCUGUGUGUGAGACCACAUGCUUUCAGUGUUAUCAAAAACUUAAAUUUAUUUGAUGUAUUCAAGUUUUAUUUUAAUUUUUCUCAACCCCAUGGCUAUAAACUGAGUAACACCAAUGACGGGCUUCACAGCUUCAUAUACAAAUCUAGAAGAAAUCAUGACAUUUUUUAAAAAAUGAAGCAAGACAUCUGACUUACCUCAUGUGCUUGACCACUUGACCACAGGAAAUUACCUCUUGACCCGAAGGAAGUCCAAAGAAGUGACAUGCAAAUUUCAAAAUAAAGUGUUUUGUGUAGCGAUAACACCAAUGACAUAAUUUUGGGUGACAGAUAUUUAUUUGAUAUUAUUAAUAAUAUUUAACUAUUUCUUAACUAUUUAUAUGUCCUAGUCAUUGUAUGUAAUGUUAAUGAACAUAUAAAUUUGAUUAAUUUAAUUAAAAAAUGUAUUUUUAAAUGAAAUUAUACACUUCCACUUCCAUGUAUUGUAAUUGUGACACAGCGAUUCUAUGAAUGUGCCAUUUUAAAUAAGUUGAUAAAAUUAAAUAUUAAUCAUUAGACCAAUAGAGUUUAUUUUUAUAUUACCAAAACAGUCUUUACUAAUUGAAUAUAUAUAAUGUAUGUGAUUAUCAGGACAACUUUGGCAGUUUUGGAGUCUACAAAAGUGUGUGACAGCAAUAUCCACCGUUUUUGGAGAAUGACCCUGCUACGAUGAACCAGGUGUAUUAUUACUAGUUAAGAACGACAAAUAAUUAACAUAAAGAAAUGUCUGUAUUGACACAGCAACUUGUAGACUGGUGUCAUUAGGCUUGGCUACAGACUUCGGUGUGCUGUAACUGAUUUCAGUUCCCACUGCCAGUGAGAUGCCAAGGUUUAUACCUUCUAAAUAAGGCACAAACAGAUUUUGAUAUAAUACAUCAGGUUGUAUUUACUGUAUUUGUCCAACAUUUUUAAAUAUGUGCGUUACAGCAGUGUUUUUAAAAGGCAUAGAACAUGAAUACAACUAAAAUAAUAAUAAUAAAAGGUUGUCUUUGAGAAGGAUAACGUCUCCUUCUUGCAGAUUUUGGUGGGACUUAGUCCAUUUUUUUCCGGCUGUGCAAAGUUGACAAGUAUACUUUUCUCCAACGGCUCCAGAACAUGUUGGACAAGGCUUGUACUUGUCUCCACUGCUUGGUGAGGAGGUCUCUGUCCGUAAAGUCUCCUGGAGGAGGCGGGACGCCGACUUUCUGAGUUAAUAGGAGGGAUGCUGUGAGAAUGAAUGGAUCCUCUGGGUCACUUGAAACCGGAACUAGUGGUCUUGCGUUCAUAAUUGCUGCCACUUCUGCCAUUAAUGUGCACAAGACUUCAUGUGUCAGGUGAGUGCCCUGUUCAAGAAGCAUUGAAUCCAGGAUCCUUCGGGCUACUCCAAUGAGACGUUCCCACGAACACCCAGGAACACCCUUGUUGGUGUAGGUACCUCUGCACAGUGGUGUCUGGUUGGUCUGCGCUCAUCUUGAGCUCUCUGCAGGCCCCAAUGAAAUUUGUACCACAGUCUGACCUUAGUUGUUUGGCUGGUCCUCUUAUGGCAAAGAAGCACCUCAAGGCGUUGAUGCAGCUUGAGGCGUCCAUUGAGGCAAUCACCUCGAUGUGAACAGCCCUGGAGCUCAUACAACAGAACAAUAAGGCCCACCGCUUGCUCUCAGACUGCGCUCCUCUUGUACGUCUGGUAGUGGUGUGCCAUGGUCCGAAGACAUCCAGCCCCACAUACGUGAAGGGAGGGCAGGCCUUGAGACGCUCUGGUGGCAGAUCUGCCAUUUGUUGCUCCUGCAUCCGUCCUCUGAGUCUGCGACAAGUCACGCAUUUGUGAAGAGUUGAGUUAAUGAGCCCCUUACCUCCCAGGAUCCAGAGUCCUGCCGCUCUCACGGCGCCUUCUGUUAGGUGCCUGCCCUGAUGUCUCACCUCUGGCCUCCUCCUCAGGUUGCGUUGAAGUGAUUUAAACCGUCUAAGCGCUUGAUCACGGUUGUUAGGCAACCGUUGUCUAGGCUGCCUGAACGGUAACGGAGCGACCCAACUGAGUGAAUCAUUUCUGUAGACUUCUUUGUCCAUUAUUCUCAAGAAGAUCUCAUCUUCAACUGAAGGUGCUAGCCUGUUGUCUUGUUCGGUGCGGUCAAAUGCAUUUUGACCCAGCCGAUCUCCUUUAGCCCUGCUGGGCCCUAAGACACCGUUCCUAGGCUCUUUGCCAUGAAUCUCUUCUCUGACAUGCAAAAAGCUUGUGCAAGGUUGGAGGAGAGAAGGCCGACGACAAUCAAACACUGUUGUCCUGUAAGUGCUGACAUUUGGUUUGUGUGCGUUCCCUAGACAGACCUCUCCAACUAACACCCAUCCUAGGUCAAGGCGUUGAGCAAAGGGGGCGUUGAGAGGGCCGUUUAUUUGCUCCCUUACCUUACGCGCUCUAAUUAUGUCUCUACCAAGCAGCAGGAGGAUCUCAGCAGUGGGGUCCAACUCCGGGAUGUGUUCUGCUACUUUGACGAGGUGAGGUUGAUGAAGAGCGACGAUCGGCGUGGGGAUUUCAGCCCGGUUGUCAGGUAAGUCGUUACAUUCAAUAAGCGGGGGGAGAGGGAUUGUAACUUUCCCAUUGAGUGCUUCGACCAUAAAAUCUUCAGCCCUUCUGCCAAACGUUUCUACUGUGCCGGAACAUGUUCUCAGUAGGUAAGGAUAGGACUCACACUAAAUGUUGAACAGGUCAAAGAAACUGGACCUAGCCAAUGACCGGUUGCUUUGGUCAUCUAAAACAAUGUAUGCUUUGAUGGCUUUAUCUGGACAGCUCUUGUGAUACACCUUUCCUAGACAUAUCUUGGAGCAUGACCGCCCAACUUGUCCUGCACCACAUACUUCAGUGCAAUUUGAGCUGACGACUUCCGUGCUGUCGUCAUCCUCUUCUCCCUCCCCACCAUUCUGUGAUGAGGGUACAGGAGCCGUGUUUUGAGGUGCAGGGCCCGGAUGCAUAGCUGAUACAUGUUUUGUGCUGUCACACUCAGAACAUUUCACUGAUGUGGUGCAGUCCUUUGCCACAUGACUAUUUGAGCCACAGCACUCUCUUUCAGAAAGUUUCUCCUGUCUUGAAGAUCUUUGGCUCUAAAGGCUUUGCAUUUGUUCAGUGGAUGUGGCUUUGCGUGUAUUGGGCAGCUCUUAUUUGGAUCACUGGAAGUGCUUGACUCUGCUGGGGAGACAUUGGUCUUAUGAACUGCAAUGGGGUUCUUGGUGCUUUUAAAAUGGGAACUUUCAGCCUUCAAAGAGGGCCCACUAGCAUUUAAAAAGGCAAAGCUGGGAUCAUUCCUUUUCUUUGCCUCAUAGCACAUGAACCUAGUAAAGAAAUCAAAUAGUGGAAACCGUCCUCCAUUUCCUUUUUUGUACCUUGAACCCGCAGAGAUCCAUUUUUCUUGCAGUCCAUAAGGCAGCUUGGCUACUAUAGGUUCGAUGCCGCGUGCAGUAUCUAGGUAAGACAAACCUGGGAGGUAGCCGUCUUCCUUAGCACACUGCACUUCCAUCAGCAGAUCUGCUAGCUCCCUUAGCUUCAGAUUUUCUUUCACCGAAAGCCUAGGGAAUUUGUCCAGACGAGUGAAGAGGGCCUUUUCAACUACCUCUGGUGCUGUGUAGCAUUCCUGAAGACGUUCCCAGGCUUUCCUGAGUGCUAUGUCUGGACUUGCUAUGUGCACUGAACGUAAGCGUUUCACAUGGUUGCUGGAUUCUUUGCCAAGCCAUCGAGUCAUUAAGUCCAGCUCCUCGGUAGCAGUGAGACCCAGGCCUUGGGUAGCACUUUUAUAUGAAGACUGCCAAGCACGGUAAUUUUCAGGUUGAUCAUCGAACUCAUACAAGCUUACACUCACCAGGUCACGUCGAGCUAAAUAUUGUGCGAGACGUUCAGUUGUGCGCACACUUUGGUCAGUUUUUAGCUGAGGGAAAAAGUGCGGAGCAGAAACAUUCAAGUCAAAGUGAAAUGUCUUUGAAUUUAUCUGAACAUCCUCUCUGUCAUAUAUGUCUGACAGUUUGACUACCGUUGGAACAUACGCAUAGUCUGGGCCAUCCUCUACUAAGUCCACAUUACCAGUGUUAUUAGCCUGUGGUGGCUCAUGUGAAUAAACAGGAACCUGCUGGUAUGAAGAAAAAGGGUUGUUUGGACUGAAACAUAGAGUGGCAGCUGUAGCAGGCUGUAAAGUCUGAGGGCUAGCCUUCGUAGCUGCUCGCUCUGGGGAGCUAGUUGGGGCAAAAUGAGCUUGGCUGUAUUCGCUUGUCCGCUCCAUUUUAAUUUCUUCUGAUGGGCCCGUUUCAUCCAACAGAAUACACCUCUCCAUUGUGUGAGCUGCAACCGAUGUAUUUGACGUGUAUAGAUUCUGUCUGUUUACUUUCCACUUUACAGGAAAAUGGCCGUUUCUUACCCCAAACUCCGCGACAGCUUGCCAAAAUAAAAGUCCCUUAAAAAUUUAGCCUUAAUGGCAACACAGACUGGAUGAGUCAGAACUUUCUCCAAUUAAACAAUGACAAAACUGAGGUAAUUGUUUUUGGAGCGAAGGAGGAACGACAAAAAGUCAGUGCUGAGCUUCAGUCAGCAAUGUUCAAAACAACAGCUAACGCCAGAAACCUGGGUGUAGUCAUGGACUCUGACCUGAAUUUCAACAGUCACAUUAAAACAAUCACUAAGUCCGCCUACUAUCACCUGAAGAAUAUAUCUAGGAUUAAAGGACUAAUGUCACAGCAGGAUCUAGAAAAACUUGUCCAUGCUUUCAUCUUCAGUACACUGAACUACUGUAACGGUGUCUUUACAGGUCUCACUAAGAACUCCAUUAGAAAGCUGCAGCUGAUUCAGAACGCUGCGACUCGAAUCCUCACUAACACUAAGAGAGUGGAUCACAUCACUCCAGUUCUGAGGUCUUUACACUGGCUUCCUGUCUGUCAAAGAAUUGAUUUCAAAGUUCUGCUGCUGGUUUCUAAAGCAUUGAAUGGUUUAGGCCCAAAAUACAUUUGUGAUCUCCUGCUACAUUAUGAACCAUCCAGAACUCUCAGGUCUUCUGGAAUGGGUCCACUUUCUGUCCCCAGACUUAGAACUCAACAAGGAGAAGCAGCGUUCAGUUAUUAUGAUCCAAAUAUCUGGAACAAACUCCCAGAACCCCGCUGCAACUCUUACUACUUUCCAGGCUGAAAACAUUUCUUUUUGCCGCUGCUUUUAAUUGAACUGUUUUGAUCUUACAUUGCACUGUGACUUUUAUUCAUGUAUUUUAUACCUGUUGUGUUUAUUUCAUUAUCUUUGCUAUUAAUUGACUGUUUUUAAAUGCCUUUGUAAUGUGUUUAUACUGCACUAUUUUUUUAAUGCUCUUAAUGUCUUUCAUGUUUGUAAAGCACUUUGAAUUGCCUUGUGUUGAAAGGUGCUAUAUAAAUAAACUUGCCUUGCCUUCAGCAGCUAUCGGCAAGUACUGGCAUCUGUGGUUGCUAGUGGCGCUGAUGCCACUAGCUGCCUCGGAAAGUAGUGGCAUCUGCAGCUGCCACCGGAAGUACUUGCCACUGCUUGCAAAUGCCACAAAUUGAGCCAGGCCCUACUGCUGAUUUGUUGUUGCAGACUCUGCCUGUUUCGCACCUAGCUUUUAUCUGAAUUACCCAUUGAACGUCUUAGCCUUCUGUACCCCCACCUUGAUUCCAGCCUGUGUGUUUCCUGGUUCCUGUUUGCCGGUUCUGGUGGCUGCUAGGCAUUUCACCAGUUUGUGUUCCAUUAUAACUUUUUCUUUAUUUCCUGCUGUGGAUUUAUCCUGCCCUGAACUGAGAGUCAACAUCAGUUCUCCUGAGAGUUUCCGGUGGACAUUUUGUCUCUCACAUUGCAUACUGCUUUAUACAUGUACCUGCAUCUAGUUCAAUAAAAGACAUUACAAACUAA